rnacentral:rRNA from 1 species
AUUGAACGCUGGCGGCAGGCCUAACCCAUGCAAGUCGAACGAGUGGCGGACGGGUGAGUAAUGUCUGGGAAACUGCCUGAUGGAGGGGGAUAACUACUGGAAACUGUAGCUAAUACCGCAUACCAUCGGAUGUGCCCAGAUGGGAUUAGCUAGUAGGUGGGGUAACGGCUCACCUGGGCGACGAUCACUAGCUGGUCUGAGAGGAUGACCAGCCACACUGGAACCUAGUGACGGUCCAGACUCCUACGGGAGGCAGCAGGGGGGAAUAGUGCACAAGGGGCGAAAGCCUGAUGCAGCCAUGCCGCGGGUAUGAAGAAGGCCUUCGGGUUGUAAAGUACUUUCAGCGGGGAGGCGUUACCCGCAGAAGAAGCACAGGCUAACUCCGUGCCAGCAGCCGCGGUAAUUC